UCAAGCUACUAAGGGCAUACGGUGGAUGCCUAGGCGCCAAGAGCCGAAGAAGGACGCGGUAAGCUGCGAAAAGCCACGGGGAACUGCAAGCAAGUAUUGAUCCGUGGAUAUCCGAAUGGGGAAACCCGGCCAUCGUCAUGGAUGGUCACCCGCAAGGGAGGGAACCUGGGGAACUGAAACAUCUAAGUACCCGGAGGAAGAGAAAUCAAACGAGAUGCCCACAGUAGCGGCGAGCGAAGAGGGCAGAGCCCAAACCGAGAAGCUCCGGCUUUUCGGGGUUGAGGACCGGCAGAAUCGAAGUCAGGCCUAGUUGAAUUACCUGGAAAGGUAAGCGAGAGAGGGUAAAAGCCCCGUAGACGAAAGGCAGAGCAGAGAGGCCGAGAUCCAGAGUACCACGAAGCACGAGGAAUUUUGUGGGAAGCAGGGGGGACCACCCUCCAAGGCUAAAAACUACUUGGCGACCGAUAGCGCAUAGUACCGUGAGGGAAAGGUGAAAAGAACCCCGGGAGGGGAGUGAAAUAGUACCUGAAACCGUAUGUCUACAAGCAGUCGAAGCGAAAGCGACGGCGUGCCUAUUGAAGAAUGAACCAACGAGUUAUCUGCACUAGCGAGGUUAAGUGGAAGACACGGAGCCGCAGCGAAAGCGAGUCUUAAGAGGGCGCUAGUUAGUGUAGGUAGACCCGAAACCGCAGUGAUCUACCCAUGUCCAGGUUGAAGCGCAGGUAAAAUUGCGUGGAGGACCGAACCGGUGAGCGUUGAAAAGCUUUCGGAUGAGAUGUGGGUAGGGGUGAAAUUCCAAUCGAACGCGGAGAUAGCUGGUUCUCCCCGAAAUAGCUUUAGGGCUAGCCUGAGGUAGUAAGUAUAGGCGGUAGAGCACUGAUCGGGCUAGGGGCCGUAAAGGUUACCGAACCCUGUCAAACUCCGAAUGGAUAUACUGUAGAGCCUUGGAGUCAGACUACGAGUGAUAAGAUCCGUGGUCAAAAGGGAAACAGCCCAGACCACCAGCUAAGGUCCCCAAUGUCGUACUAAGUGGAAAAGGAUGUGGGGUUUCAUAAACAACCAGGAUGUUGGCUCAGAAGCAGCCACCAUUUAAAGAGUGCGUAAUAGCUCACUGGUCGAGAGACCCUGCGCCGAAGAUUCCCGGGGCUAAAGUACGAAACCGAAGCUGUGGCUGUAUACGUAAAGUAUACGGGGUAGGGGAGCGUUCCCAUAGGGUAGAAGUCGAACUGGAAGGUUCGGUGGACUUGUGGGAAGUGAGAAUGUUGGUAUGAGUAGCGAAAAGAAAGGUGAGAAUCCUUUCCACCGAAAGCAUAAGGAUUCCUGAGCAACGAUCGUCGUCUCAGGGUAAGUCGGGACCUAAUCCGAGGCAGAGAGCGUAGGAGAUGGACAACUGGUUGAUAUUCCAGUACCGGUAGUAAUUGUUUGAGCAAUGGAGUGACACAGAAGGGCAGGCAAGCAUGCGAAUGGAAGAGCAUGUGUAAGCGUGUAGGGUGGUGCAUAGGCAAAUCCGUGCACUGAAAGCCUGAGGCGUGAUGCGGAGUGAGCAGAGAUGCGAGCGAAGUUGUUGACCCCACACUGUCGAGAAAAGCUUCUAGUGAGAGAGCUACCGCCCGUACCGUAAACCGACACAGGUAUGCGGGGAGAGAAUCCUAAGGUGCGCGGGAGAACCCUCGUUAAGGAACUCGGCAAAAUGUACCCGUAACUUCGGGAUAAGGGUAGCCACUGUUGUGAAGUCCCAUGCGGAUGGAGCAUAGAGUGGUCGCAGAGAAGAGGCCCAAGCGACUGUUUACCAUAAACACAGGUGCCUGCUAAAGCGAAAGCUGACGUAUAGGUGCUGACACCUGCCCAGUGCCGGAAGGUUAAGGAAGGAUGUUCGGAUUAGUCCAAAGCAUUCGACUGAAGCCCCGGUGAACGGCGGCCGUAACUAUAACGGUCCUAAGGUAGCGAAAUUCCUUGUCGGGUAAGUUCCGACCCGCACGAAAGGUGUAACGAUUUGGGCACUGUCUCAACGAGGGACCCGGUGAAAUUGAAAUACCUGUGAAGAUGCAGGUUACCCGCGACUGGACAGAAAGACCCCAUGGAGCUUUACUGUAACCUGACAUUGGGUUUUGAUACAUUACGUACAGGAUAGGUGGGAGGCAUGGAAAGCUGGACGCUAGUCUGGCUGGAGCCGCCGUUGGGAUACCACCCUUGAUGUAUUGAAAUUCUAACCGCGAGAGUAACGAAAUCCGGGACAGUGUCAGGCGGGCAGUUUGACUGGGGCGGUCGCCUCCGAAAG
rnacentral:rRNA from 1 species